AUACGGAGGAUGCGAGCGUUAUCCGGAUUUAUUGGGUUUAAAGGGUGCGCAGGCGGUCUGUCAAGUCAGCGGUCAAACUGCGGCGCUCAACGCCGUACCGCCGUUGAAACUGGCGGACUCGAGUGUGUGCGAGGAUGGCGGAAUGCGCGGUGUAGCGGGGAAAUGCAUAGAUAUCGCGCAGAACUCCGAUUGCGAAGGCAGCUGUCCAGCACGCCACUGACGCUCAUGCACGAAAGCGUGGGUAUCGAACAGGAUUAGAUACCCUGGUAGUCCACGCGGUAAACGAUGAUAACUAGUUAUUCGCCUUGACUGAAAGGUGAGUGACCGAGCGAAAGCGUUAAGUUAUCCACCUGGGGAGUACGACCGCAAGGUUGAAACUCAAAUGAAUUGGCGGGG
rnacentral:rRNA from 1 species